AGUGAACGCUGGCGGUAGGCCUAACACAUGCAAGUCGAACGGCAGCACAGUAAGAGCUUGCUCUUACGGGUGGCGAGUGGCGGACGGGUGAGGAAUACAUCGGACUCUACUUUUUCGUGGGGGAUAACGUAGGGAAACUUACGCUAAUACCGCAUACGACCUACGGGUGAAAGCAGGGGAUCUUCGGCCCUUGCGCGAUUGAAUGAGCCGAUGUCGGAUUAGCUAGUUGGCGGGGUAAAGGCCCACCAAGGCGACGAUCCGUAGCUGGUCUGAGAGGAUGAUCAGCCACACUGGAACUGAGACACGGUCCAGACUCCUACGGGAGGCAGCAGUGGGGAAUAUUGGACAAUGGGCGCAAGCCUGAUCCAGCCAUACCGCGUGGGUGAAGAAGGCCUUCGGGUUGUAAAGCCCUUUUGUUGGGAAAGAAAAGCAGCAGGUUAAUACCCCGCUGUUCUGACGGUACCCAAAGAAUAAGCACCGGCUAACUUCGUG
rnacentral:rRNA from 1 species